rnacentral:lncRNA from 1 species
AACGGGGAGAUGUCAAAUCCAGCGCGACGAGGGCGGCGCUGGACUGCAUUGCCCUGCUGGUUGCCGGCGUUCUGGGCCUGGCUGACUUGGACGUCGACGGAGUUGUCCCUAUUCUCCUGCGCCGCGGAGGCCACGAAGAGCGGGCGGGUUCUCCCGCCGGUCGAGAGCGGCGCCGGCCUCGCGGCUCUCCAGGCACGGAUGGGCAGGCGCGCGGCCGGGGAGAGGCGGCUGACGAGAGCGAAGGGAGCGUUCGCUGCAGCCAUUGCACUUCGAAAUAAUAAAAGUCGCUCGAGAUUGAAACGAGAGAGUGUCUACGAGAUCGUUGGAACUUGGAAGCCGAUGUGCUACGAAUUGCAGCUAAGUGGUUCUUAUCUUGCUCGCUUGCUCGGUGGGAGAUGGCGAGUGUGCCGCGCCAUUUUAUAGAGCAGAGGGGAGUUCAUGCCAUGAUCGUGGAAGGACGGGGAAAGAUGUUGAAGCUUCGCGACAACGCACGCCGCUCGCCGUACCUGGUUGGACAGCGCUUCGCGACGACGCCCCGGGUGUUCUUCAGGCUUGUGGUGUUCUCUCGAUAAUUCUCGAACAUAUUUCUGGGCACUUCGAGGUCAGGAGGCCCAACAUGAAAUUUAUACUUUGGCAGAUCUUCGCCGAGACGCAUCUCUUUUUAAUUUUAACAUGGUAUAGACAUCCAUACACUUACUUCUAUGAAAGUACACAUACAUGCCAUUUCUACAAGCAUUUUCGAGAGAUUGAGCCGGCAUAUCAUUACUCCGAUGGGUUGAGAAUAUCACUGUCUUCCUAACCAUCUAAUCUUUCCCAUGUUUCUUUUUUUCUUCUUUAUUAGUAUUUUUUCCCUCACUUUUGUUUUUAUUCCAUUUCUUUUAUCUUUUAAACCGAAAAUGAAAUUGUAUUGCUCUUAUCUAUUUCCUCCGUUCACAAAUAUAAGAUGUUCCAACUUUUUAUGAAUCAGAUGUAUACAUAUAUCUUUUAGUGUGUUUGUUCGCUUAUUUUAGUUUGUAUAUAAUUCAUAUUAAAAUAUCUAAAACAUCUUAUAUUUUUUUUAUAUUUUAGUUCUAUUUGGAUUUGAAGUUUUUCCAGGUUGUAAGAACAUAUAUCCAUAUCCUCCAAAAAAAUAUUCAGAUGUGUAUGCUUGUUUCUUAAAAUAUAUGAACUUUUAAAAAUAAGUACACAAGCAUAAUGUAUUAUACUAUUAUGUAGGAAUAGUUGUUAAAUACAUGAUGAUAUUUUAUUUCAUCAGUAUGAAUUACAAAGAUAUUUGAACUUUUGAAAAUAUACAAAUAUAACUAUUUAUAUGUGUAUAUUUUUAAAUAUGUGAUUAACAUUCUUUUAUAUGUAUGAAUAUUUAUAAGUACAUACAUGAACAUUUCCUUUUUAAAAAUAUAAAUUUUACAGUUGUAUAUCUACUAUCUACUACUUCCUCUAUAUCAGAAUAUAAGACUUUUUUGACACUUGGUACAAAGAGAGUACUACUCAUAAAAGCAUGAUUUUGGUUGAUCCAAAAGACCAGAGCCAUCUAACCAUCUAUAUCUAAUGUCUCAUACUGCUUCAAUGAUGUAUCUAUCAGAUCAUCAAUAAUUUGGAAACAUGUUAAUUGCGUUAAUUUUAAUUUGGAAAGGAUAUUAAUUGUAUUAAGCAAAAAUUAAUCUUAGAAUCCACACUAAUUUUGAAAAUAAUAUUACUGUCAAACUACACGCGUGGGCACUUACACGAUUACUAGUGGCAUGCAAACUGAGCUCUCGCGUCCUACAUGCAAGGGGGGUUGAUGGCGCAUUUGCAUUGACUUUCAGACAUUUUCCAUGUCUUUCCUCUUAGGGUUUUCUAACAUUUUGGUUUCUAUUUCAUUUGCAUGUUGCCUAACUGUUUUGUUUUCCCCCAUUUUCUUUGUGACUAUGUUUUAUUUCAUUUUCUCUUUUCCUUUCCUUUUUUCUAUUUUUAAAGAAAUUAAAAAAAUUCAAAAAAAAUACCCAAACAUUUUUUAAAUGCAUGAACAUUUUUCAAAAUUAUAUGGACAUUUUAUGAUUUCUCUCUCCUUCACCUCAUCUCUUGUCUUGUCUUAAAUAAAAUAAGGCAAGCCUUCUUUUAUGAUUUCUCUCUCCUUCACCUCAUCUCUUGUCUUGUCUUAAAUAAAAUAAGGCAAGCCUUCUUUUAUGAUUUCUCUCUCCUUCACCUCAUUAAUUAUCCUACGUGGCCCUCUUAAGAUAGAACCAUUGUACAUGCCAUAAUCUCACUCUCGCAGCCUGAAGCCCCGCACUAACAAUGUGCAUGCUCCACGAUGCGUGGGCUGGCCCAUGUGUGUGUGGCAGCGUGGGCUGGAUUUGCCUGUUUUUCUUUUUUCUAUUUCUUGAACUGUCUCAAUUCGCUACAGCCUUUGCAUUUUGUGAGGUCUUUUAUCUUCUUUUUCUCCCCCUGCGGUGCUAUGAUAUGCAUAUAUAUCAUAUGCUGUUGUGCAUGCAUCUCCUUUAUGGUUGUAUAUACCUUACAAUCGUUGAUGCAUGUUUGUUUGUGGUUGUUUCGAUUUUUGUUCUUCUAUGCAACAUGUCCAUGGAACAGUAAAUCAUGUAUCGAAUUGCUAAAAAUCAUCUAUAACUCAUAUAGAUGAGUUUUAGCGAUGUUUAAUUUGGUGCUAUUAAAUUCGUGCAAUUUUUUGAUCGGGGUUGUUUUGUCCCGCGCGUCCGGUGUCACUCGCCCGUUGUCCAUUUUGCGACCCAUCACACCAUGCGUUUUUUUGUUGGGCUGUUCUUCGUGAUUUUUUUCUGUGUUGUAGUUGAAAAGACAAGUUGUUUGUAUAGGUCAAAGAGAUGAACUGACCUGUGACGCCCCGAGUCCGAUGCGUCAGGUGUCUUCCAGUUAUUCGUUGUCGUUGCCAUGUCAUUCGCUUGUGUGUUGCAUCUUGCCAUGUUAUCAUGUGCAUUGCAUCAUCAUGUUUUCAAAACUUGCAUCCGUCCGGGUCUCCCCGUUUCUCUCUGUUGUCCGUUCUGAGUCCAACCACACUUGCACGCGCCCGCGGCAUGUCCGAAAUAGUAUUAUAUAAGUGGCCGAAAAAUGUUCUCGAAAUGGGAUGAAAGUUGGCGUGCGGUGUUGUUUUGUUGUCAGUAGGCCGCAUGCCAAGUUUCAUCAUGUUCGAAGUCCGUUUGACGCCCCAACGUAUAACUAUAGCGGCACCGCUGCCGGUCUAACGUCGGACAUUUUCGGUCUCCGAAAACUGCUGCCAGGCCCUUUCUCUCUCUUCUCUCCUCUCAGCCUCGCCACAACCCACCUAGUCCAUCCACCUACCCCUCUUCGCGUCCGCAGCCGUCCGAUGCAAUCGCACGGUCCGAAAACCCUCUCUGCUCUGUGCAUCGACCCCCUCGCGCGUGUCCGAAACUCUCGCGAAGCCGACCUGGACAGUUGUCACCGUUGCAUUCAGAUCAUCCCCUAACAUCUACAAAACAUCUCCGUUUUGCUUUUUGGUCUCCCUAGCCUAUUUGUCCGGUGCCGUCCGAUUAAGAUCGGAGGGACCAAACGCCCCUAUCCAAAAACCACUUGUUAUAUAAAUCAGACCAAAUCCCUAACUUCUAGGGAUCCUCCUCGCCGCCGCCACACUCCACCUUGUCGUCUCCCACCUCGGGAUCCCCUCCCGAUCCCGUAGCCAAUCCACCAACCUGCACCUCCUUUCCUUCCUCGAUUUCACCAGUGGGCCAAUCCCCUCUGAGGUCCAUCUCCACCAACCAGCUCCACCAGUAGACGAAUGCCUCCGCAUCGCCAGCUGCCAGCCUCCUCUGCCCGAGCCGCCACCUCGUCGUCCUUCGCCUGCAGCCACCAUCGCCUUGCCUACCUACCACCACCAGUAGCAAGCAGAGGCACCGGAGCUCCUUCCUCCACCCUCUUCUACUCCGAGCUCUUCUUGCUCGAUCUGCUGCUCUCGAGCCCAACCGGCUCAUCUGUGACCCCGAGCUCCUCCAUGGCCCGAGCCCCUCCAACAAGCAUCAACUCCUCUUGCUGCCGCCUCUACUCCGAUGACCGCGCUGCCGAACCAGCAGAUGGGCACUAUCCCCAUCCUCCUCCUUCUCCCCUUGUUCCCUUCUUCUCUUCCCGCCUCAAGUUCUGUUGAAACAGCCGCUGUUUCUUCUGUAGAUCCCACGCCAUGGCUGUCCUCUUCUUCGGGUCAAGGUGCAGGCCGCCGGAUUCGAUCCCUCUCGGCAACCUCUUCGUCCUGGCCUCCUCCGCCGCGCCGGCGAGCGUGACACAGGAGGACCGCAGGUCGCCUCGCGCGCCAAUUUCGCCUUUGUCAUUUCCCUACAUUGCUGCUGCCGCCUUCUGCUGCAGGAGGUCGCCCCGUCGUGGCCUUGUGGCAUGUCCUGCAGCUUGGGGAUCUGAUCCGUGCCUCUCCUAGCCGGAUCUGGCCUCAGGCGACUCCCCAGGCUCCAUCCUAUCCCCGCGUCCCCGCGGACCCCGCCGGAAUCCGCAUGGUGCCGUCCUUGCCUUCGUUCGCGUGAACCGCCGACGAGCUUUUGCUCUGUCUCUGUUGAGCGGGAGGGACAUCGCUCAUGCUACUCCUGUCGUGCACCCAGUGGGCCACCCACCGACCCAGUUUCUUUGCCAAGGCCCAGCUAGGGUGAGCGACCUGAGCCAGAUCCCCCAGCUAGGGUGAGCGACCUGAGCCAGAUCCCAGUUCUGGCCCAUGUAUUUUUUCCCGCGCUGUGAAUUUGUCUUUUAUCUAGAGUUUUACCUGUUUUGCAGAAAACACCCUAGUCUUCAUGCAUAUAAUAACUCAUUAACGGAGCAUCAUAUUAAAAUGUUUUAUAUAUGAAAAAUGCUUAAAAUUGUGUCUAGUUUCAUAAUAUGUCACUUUCACCCAUGUUUAAAAUGUUUAAAUUGUUGUUUGUGUAGAUUUACUCAUUUGCCAUGCUAAAAUGGUUUAUUUCAUAACUAAAUAACCGUAGCUCCAAACUUAAUAAACUUUAUAUGUGUUUGGGGGUAGAAAAGUGCCUAGUUUAACAUGGUGGCUUUACUUUGCAUGUUUAACAACUCUAAAAUAUAGUUUAGGGCAGAACAGUGCCAAAACUUAAAAUAUGCACAUGAGGAGUUUCCGGACUUGUUUGUUGUUCCGGCUUCAUUUAACCUUGCCUAGAUAGGUAGUUUUACUUUGCUUCACCCCUUGCCAUGCUAAACAACAUUUAAUAUUGUUGAGUACAUAAAUGAGAUAAACUAAAUAACUUGAAUGUGGUGUUUCGUCAAUAUGCAACUAGUUGCAUAUCGAGCUCCACUUAAUUUGUAGGAUUGCUUGUGCACUUUGCCAUGCCAUGCUUCAUUAAACCGGACAUGCAUCAUACUUGGUUGUGCAUCAUGCCAUGUUUAUGCGAUGGUUGUUUACUAUGUUGUUUACUUCUUUCCGGUGUUGCUUUUUCGGGUUAGUUCCGAUAACAUCGUGUUUGUGAGGAUCCGUUCGGCUACGUCCGUUUGUCUUCUUCAUGGACCCGUUCUUCUUCCUUGCAGGAUCUCAGGCAAGAUGACCAUACCCUCGAAAUCACUUCUAUCUUUGCUUGCUAGUUGCUCGCUCUUUUUGCUAUGCCGCGAUACCUACCACUUGCUUUAUCAUGCCUCCCACAUUGCCAUGUCAAGACUCUAACCCACCUUUCCUAGCAAACCGUUGUUUGGCUAUGUUACUGCUUUGCUCAGCCCCUCUUAUAGCGUUGCUAGUUGCAGGUGAAGCUGAAGUUUGUUCGAUGUUGGAACAUGGUUAUUGUUUGGAUAUCACAAUAUCUCUUAUUUAAUUAAUGCAUCUAUAUACUUGGUAAAGGGUGGAAGGCUCGGCCUUAUGCCUGGUGUUUUGUUCCACUUUUGCCGCCCUAGUUUCCGUCAUACCGGUGUUAUGUUCCUUGAUUUAGCAUUCCUUACACUGUUGGAUGUUAUGGGGACCCCUUGACAGUUCGCUUUGAAUAAAACUCCUCCAUCAAUGCCCAACCUUGGUUUUACCAUUUGCCUCACCACCACCUACUUUUCCCUUGGGAGUCGCGCUCCCGAGGGUCAUCUUUAUUUAACCCCCCGGGCUAGUGCUUCUCUAAGUGUUGGUCCGAAACAGAGCCACUUGCAGCGCCACCUCGGGGAAACUUGAGGGUUGGUUUUAGUUGUACAUAGUGUCCAUCCGGUGUUGCCCUGAGAACGAGAUAUGUGCAGCUCCUAUCAGGAUGUCGAUGCAUCGGGCGGUCUUGCUGGUCUUGUUUUACUAUUGUCGAAAUGUCUUGUAACCGGGAUUCCGAGACUGAUCGGGUCUUCUCGGGAGAAGGUAUAUCCUUCGUUGACCGUGAGAGUUUGUGAUGGGCUAAGUUGGGACACCCCUGCAAGGUUUGAACUUUUGAAAGCCGUGCCCGCGGUUAUGGGUAGAUGGGAGUUUGUUAAUAUCCGGUUGUAGAGAACUUGACACUUGACUUAAUUAAAAUGCAUCAACCGCGUGUGUAGCCGUGAUGGUCUCUUUCCGGCGGAGUCCAGGAAGUGAACACGGUUCUUGUGUUAUGCUUGAACGUAAGUAGUUUUAGGAUCACUUCUUGACCAUUUCUAGUUUCAUGACCGUUGCAUUGCUUCUCUUCUCACUCUUAUUUGCGUAUGUUAGCCAUCCUAUAUGCUAGUGCUUGCUGCGGCUCCACCUCACUACCUUUUCCUACCCAUAAGCUUAAAUAGUCUUGAUCUCGCGGGUGUGAGAUUGCUGAGUCCUCGUGACUCACAGAUUACUUCCAAAACCAGUUGCAGGUGCCGAUGAUACCAGUGCAGGUGACGCAACCCAGCUCAAGUGGGAGCUCGAUGAAGAUCGUGUUCGUUGUGUUGUUUCGUUUCUAAUUGAUCAGUAGUGGAGCCCAGUUGGGGUGAUCGGGACCUAGCAAUAGGGGUGGUCUUUCUUUAUUUUGGUUCCGUAGUCGGACCUUGAUUGUAUUCUAGAUGAUGUAUGAUAUUCAUGUAUUGUUUGAAGUGGCGAUUGUAAGCCAACUCUUUAUCCCUUUCUUAUUCAGUACAUGGGAUGUGUAAAGAUUACCCCUCUUGCGACAUGCCUACUAUGCGGUUGUGCAUCUAAGUCGUGCUCCGACACGUGGGAGAUAUAGCCGCAUCGUGGGUGUUACAUGAGCGUUGACUCAUCAGUUAUAUUCAUCUCUCUCUCUCCUCUUUGUCUUUGGAGCAGAGGUGACACGAGAAUGGAUCUACUUCUAAACACUACAAUGACAGGUGGCGAUCCUUUUUUAUGCAAGUAUAACCCUAAUAUGUAAGAAGCGUGCCUCUUUUCUUGUCCUACUUUGCGAAUGUUUCGUUCGUACGCAACUUGGCAUGGCCCAUUUUUUGUCCCAAUUGCAAGUCCACCCUCGACACGCAACUGGGGGCCUGACCACUUUUGUUUUAGUUGCAAGUCCACCCCUGACAUGCAAGUCCGCCCUACAAGCCCAGUUUGACUCGUAAUUGGGCAUGUGUUUUGUAUUUCAUCCCAGUUGCAAGUCGACCAUUGACUUGCAAUCGGGCUUGUAGUUUCGUAGUUGUCCUAGUUGCGCGUCCAUCUUUCAUACGCAAUUGGGUUCGUAUUUCUCCCAUUUGCAUGCCCACCCUCUACUUGUAACUAGGCAUGUUUUUGUUUUUCAUGCCAGUUGCAAGUCCACCAUUGACUUGCAACUGGGGCAGCAGUUUGUUUCAUUCCAAUUGCAAGUCGACCCUUGAAUCGUAAUUGGGCUCGUUGUUUAGUAGUUAUCUUAAUUUCAAGUACAUGCUCGACUCACAACUGGGAUCAUAGUUUUGUUGUUAUCCUAGUUGCAACUCCAUCAUCGACUUGCAACCGGACUCAUAUUUUUGUUGUUAUCCUAGUUGCAAGUUCACUCUUGACUCGCAAGUCGGCAUGUGUUUUUUUUCAUCUUAGUUGCUAGUCCACCCUUAAGUCGCAACUGAGCUCGUAGGUUUUGUUAUCCUAGUUACAAGUCCUCCCCCGAAUCGCAACUAGGCAUGUAGUUUGUUUUAUCCCAGUUGCAAGACCACCCUUGACUCGCAAUUGGGCCCGUGAUUGGACUUCCAUCCGAGUUGCAAGUCCAUCUUUCACUCGCAACUAGGACCGUAGUAUGUUUUAUCCUAGUUGCAAGUCGACCCUUGACUCGCAACUACGCUCGUAGUUUGUAGUUGUCCCAGUUUUAAGUCCAUUCUCAAGUCACAACUCAACUUGUAGUUCUCCUAGUUGCAGCCACACCCUCGACUUGCAACUAGGCAUGUACAUUGUUUUUCAUCCAAGUUGCAAGUCCACUUUUGACUCGCAACGAGCCCAUAGUUUGUUUCAUCCCACCCUCAAUUCGCAACUCCUAGUCUUAUCCCCUGACUACAUUGCACGCCUUCAAUGCUGCAACUAGCCNNNNNNNNNNNNNNNNNNNNNNNNNNNNNNNNNNNNNNNNNNNNNNNNNNNNNNNNNNNNNNNNNNNNNNNNNNNNNNNNNNNNNNNNNNNNNNNNNNNNNNNNNNNNNNNNNNNNNNNNNNNNNNNNNNNNNNNNNNNNNNNNNNNNNNNNNNNNNNNNNNNNNNNNNNNNNNNNNNNNNNNNNNNNNNNNNNNNNNNNNNNNNNNNNNNNNNNNNNNNNNNNNNNNNNNNNNNNNNNNNNNNNNNNNNNNNNNNNNNNNNNNNNNNNNNNNNNNNNNNNNUUCUUAAAAUGCGUGAAGUUUCUUUAAAACAUUGCCACGAACAUUUCUUUGAAUGUUAUGAAACUUUUUUUAUUCUGUAAUACAUUUUUGAACAUCACAAACAUUAUUUGGAAAUGCAUGAACAUUUUUCAAAUGGCAACAUUUUUAAUGGUGCAAACAAAUUUUUCAAUUGAAAAUUUAUUAUUAAAAUAAAAUUAAACUCAUUAUAUUUGCAUUUUUCGAAAAAUGAUUGGAAUUUUUCAAAAGAAUCCAUACUUUAAAAACUAUUUGGGGAUUUUCAUAAAUUGCUCACGCUUUUAAAAUAAUUCAUGAAGAUAUUGUUUGAAAUACAAAAGUUUGUUUUUAUUUGUCAAAAAGGUUUGGAACUACAAAGUUUAUUCAUAUUUGAAAAGACUUUUUGAAAUUUUAAAAUUGUUUGUGUUUUCAAAAAUAUUUGACAUUUCAAAUUGUUUACGAUUUGUAAGAAAAUGUUUCAAACAUUUUUUUUAAGAUUGUCUUCUAAUCUCGCCGGUUUACUAUGUUCUUAUAUAUUCCCAUCUUUUUAAUAAUCAAUAGUUAUCUAUUCCCUUCGUUUCUAAAUAUUUGUCUUUUUAAAGAUAUCAACAAGUGACUACAUACGAAGCAAAAUAAGUGAAUUUACACUUCAAAAUAUGUCUAUAUAUUCGUAUGUGAUAGUCCAUUUGAAAUCUUAAAAAACAAAUAUUUUUAGGAACGGAGGGAGUAUUGGAGUGGUAGGAGCACGGUGACCAACAUGUUGUCCUGAGUUCAGUUCCUACUGCAGCGCACUUUGUCACUCGAUGAAAUACAAUAUUUUGUUAUUUUGUGUCAUGCAAAAUACAAAUUUAUACUCAUGUGCUUGGAUUGAUCGAAGCGACAUUAUAGAUCCAUAAAACCCUUUUGGCCAAAAAGAUGCGCACUUCUAUAUUUACAGAACAACACUACAUAUUUUGCACAACGAGCACUCAGAGGGUGUUUGUUUCCAGAAACUUAUUGGUCUAGGGACUUAAAUAAGUCCCUAAGGACUUAAAAUGGACAUUUGAGACUUAUGAAAUAAGACUCUCAAAGAGGGACUUAUAGGGACUUAUAAUUGUAAUAUGGUCUUAUAAAGACUUAUAAGUUUCAGGAACCAAACAUGUAGGAACUUUUUAGUGACUUGAACUUAUAAGUUGGGACUAAAAAAAAGUCCUAAGACUUAUGAACCAAACAGGACCUCAAUCUGUGCUUUAUUAUUUUAUUAUUAGGGAGAGAGGAGAGACAUAGAGCACUACAAAUUUCGCACAACGAGCGCGCAAGGAGGAUUGGAGAAAAACGGCACACUCUACAAAGAGCACACCUCGGACAGCUGAAAUCUUAAAGCCUCAAAUGUAGGGUACAGUCUCACACGAACUCAUCACUGGACCUGCACGUCGAUGACCUUGUGCUCGGUCUCCCUCUUGGGCACGGACACGAGCAGCACGCCGUUCUUGAGCUCGGCCCCUGCCUCCUGUUAUCAUCCGGCCUAGACGCACAGUUUCGGGACCCCCUACCCGAGAUCCGCUGAUUUUGACACCGACAAGCGUCGUCCGCGUGUAGCGGUCGGGUAGGGGUAGGCGCGCCGGCGUGGUGGGCGGUGGCGGCGCACGGCGACACGUGGUAAGGGGCAUGGCAGGAGGUGGAGAUGGUGAUUGGGAGGCAGGGUCGGGCGGCUGAUUUUCUUUCUUUUAUCUCAGGUGUACCGGUUCGGGUUAUCUUAUUAUGAGGACGGCGGGUUUAAUUCAUAAAAAGCACAUGGACCUUUGUGCAAAAACGCCGCGACGGUGAAUUCGAAGACUCAGAUGGUGUUUGUUUCCAGGGACUUAUUGGUCUAGGGACUUAAAUAAGUCCCUAUAAGUCUCAUCUAAACCAAACAGGAGAGACUUAUAGGGACUUAAAGUGGACAUUUGGAACUUAUGAAAUGAGACUCUCAAAGAGGGACUUAUAGGGACUUAUAGUUGUAAUAUGGUCUUAUAAAGACUUAUAAGUCCCAGGAACUAAACAUGUAGGGACUUUUUAGUGACUUGAACUUAUAAGUUGGGACUAAAAAAAGUCCUAAGACUUAUGAACCAAACAGGACCACAAUCUGUGCUUUAUUAUUUUAUUAUUAGAGAGAGAGGAGAGACAUAGAGCACUACAAAUUUCGCACAACGAGUGCGCAAAGAGGAUUGGAGAAAAACGGCACACUCUACAAAGAGCACACCUCGGACAGUUGAAAUCUUAAAGCCUCAUAUGCAGGGUACAGUCUCACACGAACUCAUCACUGGACCUGCACGUCGAUGACCUUGCGCUCGGUCUCCCUCUUGGGCACGGACGCGAGCAGCACGCCGUUCUUGAGCUCGGCCCGCACCUCGAGGUCAGGAGGCCCAACAUGAAAUUUAUACUUUGGCAGAUCUUCGCCGAGACGCAUCUCUUUUUAAUUUUAACAUGGUAUAGACAUCCAUACACUUACUUCUAUGAAAGUACACAUACACGCUAUUUCUAUAAGCACUUUCCAGAAAUUGAGCCGGCAUAUCAUCGCUCCGAUGGGUUGAGAAUAUCACUGUCUUCCUAACCAUCUAAUCUUUCCCAUGUUUUUUCUUUUCUUCUUUAUUAGUAUUUUUUCCCUCACUUUUGUUUUUAUUCCAUUUCUUUUAUCUUUUAAACCGAAAAUGAAAUUGUAUUGAUCUUAUCUAUUUCCUCUGUUCACAAAUAUAAGAUGUUCCAACUUUUUAUGAAUCAGAUGUAUACAUAUAUCUUUUAGUGUGUUUGUUCGCUCAUUUUAGUUUGUAUAUAGUUCAUAUUAAAAUAUCUAAAACAUCUUAUAUUUUUUUAUAUUUUAGUUCUAUUUGGAUUUGAAGUUUUUUCCAAGUUGUAAGAACAUAUAUCCAUAUCCUCCAAAAAAAUAUUCAGAUGUGUAUGCUUGUUUCUUAAAAUAUAUGAACUUUUAAAAAUAAGUACACAAGCAUAAUGUAUUAUACUAUUAUGUAGGAAUAGUUGUUAAAUACAUGAUGAUAUUUUAUUUCAUCAGUAUGAAUUUAAAAAGAUAUUUGAACUUUUGAAAAUAUACAAAUAUAACUAUUUAUAUGUGUAUAUUUUUAAAUAUGUGAUUAACAUUCUUUUAUAUGUAUGAAUAUUUAUAAGUACAUACAUGAACAUUUCCUUUUUAAAAAUAUAAAUUUUACAGUUGUAUAUCUACUAUCUACUACUUCCUCUAUAUCAGAAUAUAAGACUUUUUUGACACUUGGUACAAAGAGAGUACUACUCAUAAAAGCAUGAUUUUGGUUGAUCCAAAGGACCAGAGCCAUCUAACCAUCUAUAUCUAAUGUCUCAUACUGCUUCAAUGAUGUAUCUAUCAGAUCAUCAAUAAUUUGGAAACAUGUUAAUUGCGUUAAUUUUAAUUUGGAAAGGAUAUUAAUUGUAUUAAGCAAAAAUUAAUCUUAGAAUCCACACUAAUUUUGAAAAUAAUAUUACUGUCAAACUACACGCGUGGGCACUUACACGAUUACUAGUGGCAUGCAAACUGAGCUCUCGCGUCCUACAUGCAAGGGGGGUUGAUGGCGCAUUUGCAUUGACUUUCAGACAUUUUCCAUGUCUUUCCUCUUAGGGUUUUCUAACAUUUUGGUUUCUAUUUCAUUUGCAUGUUGCCUAACUGUUUUGUUUUCCCCCAUUUUCUUUGUGACUAUGUUUUAUUUCAUUUUCUCUUUUCCUUUCCUUUUUUCUAUUUUUAAAGAAAUUAAAAAAAUUCAAAAAAAUACCCAAACAUUUUUUAAAUGCAUGAACAUCUUUCAAAAUUAUAUGGACAUUUUAAAAAGAGUGAUUAUUUUUAAAAUUGAAAUACUAACAUAUUUGAUAAUGUGAGCCCCUUCUCAAAAGUUACACGUACUCAGUGACUUCAACUUUUUAUGUUUAAUAAAAUGGUUGUGUGGUGACUUUGAUUUUUUUUAUGUUCAAUAAAAUGGUUGUGUGCAUCGCAAGAUGCAGAGAUUAGGGUUAUCCCUUUUCGGAAAAAAGGCCCAUGACUUCACGAGAGGAUUAUCCCCCUUUUGGAAAGAAAAGUGCUAUUGACUUUGGAAAAUGCAGAGGCUGGGGUUAUCUCCUUUUCUCAAAAAAUAUAUGCAAACAAGGUGUUAUUGAGCUAUUGGCUUCAUAAGAUGCAUUGGAAAGAAAAGUGCCAUUGACUUCAGAAAAUACAGAGGCCAAGGUUAUCUCCUUUUCAAAAAAAUGCAAAAAAUGUGUUAUUGACUUCGAAAGAUUUAGAAGCUCAAAAAAAGCGCUAUUGGCUUUGUAAGAUGCAUGGGCCAAAAUGAUGCAAAACAAAAGGUGAUAUUGACUUCGUAAGAUGCAAAGGCAGGAGUUACCUCCUUUUCAAAAAAAUUGCACUAACUUUGUUUGUGACUUGUUCUAUCUUGUAGUUCUAUAGUGAUCGACUUCGUUUGACCUAUUCUAGUUUAUGGUUUUAAAGGGCAACAACUUACGAGGAUGUUUUUAUGUUACAUGGAUGAUAGCAUAGCCGCUUAAGAUUGCUCUUACACCUUAGGGCAUCUUCAACAAUGUCCUUCAAAUCGCCUGCAAACAUCGGAACUGAGGCUUUUAGAUCUUUUUUUGCCAUUCAUCGCGGUGCCACAUACGUCCGUGGACGUGUCCAUGUGUCCGAAUUCCUGCAAACCGACCACAAACCGUGGGAGGUUUGCGGGAGUCUGCACCUCCACCACUUAGGACUCUGACACCCGCGACCACUCAACUCCCCUCUCCUAGACCACUUUUCUCUUACUUCAUCCUCCCUCAUUCUUUGUAUCCGCACUGUCCUAGCCAUACGCCGCCACUCUACCACUCUGGUCGCCGAUUAGGCUUUGCCGGAUGUUCGUCGGCCCCCCACACUCCUGCCCGCCUUUGACUAUGCCAUCAUCCAUCCCGGAUCCAUUCGCAGUCAGGUAUCCUCCGCCCCUUCCAACAUUGUCCAUACCGGUCAUCACGUCCGGCAAGUGUUCGAAAAAAUGCCAUUGAGUUUUUUCGACAUUUCCAUUGUUUCUUUGGAGCAAGCACGAUGAUGGGGGACAUGAUGAGGGAGGAGCGGACUUUAUAGGCGGGAGGUAAGAGGACAAAGUGUUUUGGCUAAAUGUGCAUUAUUGGUUUCAUGAGCAAAAGCAGUUCCCUCCUUACAACUUGCACAUGAUCCAUAAUCACGUGUGAAGUCGUGAUCCCAUCAAUGGUACAUCAUCUCAAAUGUCAUCCAGAAGUAUUGCAGUACGAUUGCCCAAGUGGAGAGACGAUGUGUCAAAAGCGGAAAUCAUAAGUUUUGUUUCUUGUCGCUUAAUUUAUUCAUUCACUCGAUGUUGCAACUUGAUAAUCAUCAUGUCGUAUAACCACCAUGAGUUGCCUUCUUGUACCAAAGAACGGAUGGCAUGGCAUUGAAGAGGGUUGAAUUUCUAUUGACGGAUUUCAAAAGCUUAUUGGACAUCCGGUUAUGUCGGAUGUAAUUUUUAUUAUAGUUGAACUUGUUGUGACCAACUCUAGUAAAAUUGAAUUUCUAUGGAUGAAUUUCAAGCUAAUCCGGUUAUUUUGGAUGUAACAUUUAUUAUAUUUAAACUUGUUGUACUAGGGUAUGUGCAUGUUGAUUAUGGUGUUAUUCAUUGGGCACUUCCAUGUUAUUCAUGAUGUUUUCUAUGGAUGAACUAUGCUACUACUAUAUUAUUUUAAUUGCUCUGAAUAUAUAAAGAGACAAAACAAGCUAUACCACUAUUAGCUUAAGUGUCAUCAACAUAAAAGAAAAGAAAUAGAGACGGACAUUUAGUACGCAAAGGCAUCCGAACGAGUAGUGAGUAGGAUGGCAUCGAAAAUGCCCUUGCUUGUCUUUGGCAGUCUAUUUGUUUGUUUGUUUUUUCAAAAGGGAAAAUAACCUUGAACGACGCAUGCAGCUAUUUUAUUAAUUACUCUAAGACCUUGUAAAGCAAUAUAUCAGUAAGUCUGAAAUCAUCACCCGCUUGACGGGAGUUUAGAUUGUCAGGGCCUCAUACCCGACCUCACACCAAAGCCCAACAUCUAACGUUGGAGGCCCUAACCGAGCUGAAUUAUCGGAUCUUGGUCAUACAUCGGUCCAACUCACUCUCAGCGAGCGUCGUAUGCACACGCUACAGAGACCGUCACCACCAUCUUCCACAGAGCAACAUUGACACAUAAACCUUGCCAGACAACGCCACCUCUCUACACACAUCAAUCAUCACACAUCCAUCGUCGAGACCCUGCCGCGCCACACCCACCUCAUCGAUGCGUCACAUGAAACGCCACUCCACCUGCGUCCUCCGUCCAGUAGCUGCUCCAAAACAAUGCCCUCAUAAGGGAGAACAACACCAAGGGCUCUGCCAUCGUUUGAUCUGGGAUACCCGAAUCUGGGGGUUUUCCCGAAGCAGCAUGAGUAGGUAGAUGGUGUCUGCAAUGACGAUUCCUUCAACAAGGUAACGACGUGUAGAUGCCAUCAUUGCUUGCCAUAGCUCGAUUUUCACCGGUAGCCACGCCUUCCCUACUCGUCGCCAAGACUAGCCGAAGGAUCUAAGGAUCUGUCACAACCAGCCAACCGACCACUUUCGGCAAUGGGGAGGAGGCCAUCACCGGCACGCCCGGGGCCCGAGCCCCCGGCUUCCUCAUGCUAGGGAAUGAACCUAGGAGCCCGCGUGCUAUCAUCGAAGUCGACAAGACACAACAAGUACUUCAGCCUGGGUCUGCGGCACAUCUAAACCUAUCUGAGUUGAAAUCGGGCCCAACCACUACUGUCGCCCACCGGCUAGCCUUCGCGCCGUCCACCGCCGCAAGCUCGUCGAUCCUCGCCGCCGCCGCCGCCCCCACCCCAUGUCGCUACCACUGAACAGCCUGAGCGAGCGCCGCCACUGCGGUCCCGAACUUUGGUCGAGGAUAUCCGUCCACUACCACGCUAUACGGGCUUUGACUCCCGACGGCUAGAUAUGGCCGACGGGGAGGAAAGGAGAUCGGAUCAAUGGAGCUGGUUCCUGUUGCCAGUCUAUUUGUAUAACGGGUUUGCUAUUUCACAUCUAGAUGUGAAAUAGUUAUCUCACAUCUAACUCCUUCAUCUUUGGAUUUUUAUUUUAGUGUCAAUUCACGCACAGGCUAAGGGCAUGUACAAUGGUUGAUAAGAUAAUCUUAUUUUAAGUUUUGCAUGUAAAUUAGAGAUGACAAAAAAACAUGUCCAUAAUAGGUCAUCUCUUAGCCUUAUCUUCAAUAAUUAGUUGUUCCUAAAAAUAUGGUGAGACAAAUUGUAUGAAGAGAUCAUCUCUUGUCUUGUCUUAAAUAAAAUAAGACAAGCCUUCUCUUAUGAUUUCUCUCUCCUCCACCUUAUUAAUUAUCCUACAUGAUCCUCUUAAGAUUGAACCAUUGUACAUGCCAUAAUCUCACUCUCGCAGCCUGUAGCCCCGCACUAACAAUGUGCAUGCUCCACGAUGCGUGGGCUGGCCCAUGUGUGUGUGGCAGCGUGGGCUGGAUUUGCCUGUUUUUCUUUUGUCUAUUUCUUGAACUGUCUCAAUUCGCUACAGCCUUUGCAUUUUGUGAGGUCUUUUAUCUUCUUUUUCUCCCCCUGCGGUGCUAUGAUAUGCAUAUAUAUCAUAUGCUGUUGUGCAUGCAUCUCCUUUAUGGUUGUAUAUACCUUACAAUCGUUGAUGCAUGUUUGUUUGUGGUUGUUUCGAUUUUUGUUCUUCUAUGCAACAUGUCCAUGGAACAGUAAAUCAUGUAUCGAAUUGCUAAAAAUCAUCUAUAACUCAUAUAGAUGAGUUUUAGCGAUGUUUAAUUUGGUGCUAUUAAAUUCGUGCAAUUUUUUGAUCGGGGUUGUUUUGUCCCGCGCGUCCGGUGUCACUCGCCCGUUGUCCAUUUUGCGACCCAUCACACCAUGCGUUUUUUUGUUGGGCUGUUCUUCGUGAUUUUUUUCUGUGUUGUAGUUGAAAAGACAAGUUGUUUGUAUAGGUCAAAGAGAUGAACUGACAUGUGACGCCCCGAGUCCGAUGCGUCAGGUGUCUUUCAGUUAUUCGUUGUCGUUGCCAUGUCAUUCGCUUGUGUGUUGCAUCUUGCCAUGUUAUCAUGUGCAUUGCAUCAUCAUGUUUUCAAAACUUGCAUCCGUCCGGGUCUCCCCGUUUUUUUCUGUUGUCCGUUCUGAGUCCAACCACACUUGCACGCGCCCGCAGCAUGUCCGAAAUAGUAUUUUAUAAGUGGCCAAAAAAUGUUCGCGGAAUGGGAUAAAAGUUGGCGUGCGGUGUUGUUUUGUUAUCACUAGGCCGCAUGCCAAGUUUCAUCGCGUUCGAAGUCCGUUUGACGCCCCAAUGUAUAACUAUAGCGGCACCGCUGCCGGUCUAACGUCGGACAUUUUCGGUCUCCGAAAACUGCUGCCAGGCCCUUUCUCUCUCUUCUCUCCUCUCAGCCUCGCCACAACCCACCUAGUCCAUCCACCUACCCCUCUUCGCGUUCGCAGCCGUCCGAUGCGAUCACACGGUCCGAAAACUCUCUCUGCUCUGUGCAUCGACCCCCUCGCGCGUGUCUGAAACUCUCUCGAACCCGACCUGGACAGUUGUCACCGUUGCGUUCAGAUCAUCCCCUAACAUCUACAAAACAUCUCCGUUUUGCUUUUUGGUCUCCCUAGCCUAUUUGUCCGGUGUCGUCCGAUUAAGAUCGGAGGGACCAAACGCCCCUAUCCAAAAACCACUUAUUAUAUAAAUCAGACCAAAUCCCUAACUUCUAGGGAUCCUCCUCGCCGCCGCCACACUCCACCUUGUCGUCUCCCACCUCGGGAUCCCCUCCCGAUCCCGUAGCCAAUCCACCAACCCGCGCCUCCUUUCCUUCCUCGAUUUCACCAGCGGGCCAAUCCCCUCUGAGGUCCAUCUCCACCAACCAGCUCCACCCGCAGACGACUGCCUCCGCUGAAGGAAAUAUGCCCUAGAGGCAAUAAUAAAGUUAUUAUUUAUUUCCUUAUAUCAUGAUAAAUGUUUAUUAUUCAUGCUAGAAUUGUAUUAACCGGAAACGUAAUACUUGUGUGAAUACAUAGACAAACAAAGUGUCACUAGUAUGCCUCUACUUGACUAGCUCGUUAAUCGAAGAUGGUUAUGUUUCCUAACCAUAGAUAUGAGUUGUCAUUUGAUUAACGGGAUCACAUCAUUAGGAGAAUGAUGUGAUUGACAUGACCCAUUCCAUUAGCUUAGCACCCGAUCGUUUAGUAUGUUGCUAUUGCUUUCUUCAUGACUUAUACAUGUUCCUAUGACUAUGAGAUUAUGCAACUCCCGUUUACUGGAGGAACACUUUGUGUGCUACCAAACGUCACAACGUAACUGGGUGAUUAUAAAGGUGCUCUACAGGUGUCUCCAAAGGUACAUGUUGGGUUGGCGUAUUUCAAGAUUAGGAUUUGUCGCUCCGAUUGUCGGAGAGGUAUCUCUGGGCCCUCUCGGUAAUACACAUCACUUAAGCCUUGCAAGAAAUGCAACUAAUAAGUUAGUUGCAAGAUGAUGUAUUACGGAACGAGUAAAGAGAAUUGCCGGUAACGAGAUUGAACUAGGUAUUGAGAUACCGACGAUCGAAUCUCGGGCAAGUAACAUACCGAUGACAAAGGGAACAACGUAUGUUGUUAUGCGGUCUGACGAUAAAGAUCUUCGUAGAAUAUAUAGCAGCCAAUAUGAGCAUCCAGGUUCCGCUAUUGGUUAUUGACUGGAGACGUGUCUCGGUCAUGUCUACAUUGUCCUCGAACCCGUAGGGUCCGCACGCUUAACGUUACGAUGACAAUUUCAUUAUGAGUUUAUAUAUUUUGAUGUACCGAAGGUUGUUUGGAGUCCCGGAUAUGCUCAUGGACAUGGCGAGGAGUCUCGAAAUGGUCGAGACAUAAAGAUCGAUAUAUUGGACAGCUAUAUUCGGACACCGGAAGUGUUUCGGGUGAUUUCGGAGAAAACCGGAGUGCCGGAAGGGUUACCGGAACCCCCCGGGGAAGUAUUGGGCCUUAGUAGGCCUGAGGGGAGAGAGAGGGUAGCAUCCUAGGAGGUGGCACGCCCCCUCCCAUGGGGAGUCCGAAUUGGACUAGGGGAGGGGGGCGCGGCCCCUCUUUCCCUCUCCCUCUCCCUCUCUUUCCUUCCCCCUUCUCUCUUCCUAGUUGGACUAGGAAAGGGGAGUCCUACUCCUACUAGGAGGAGGACUCCCCCCUCCUUGGCGCGCCCCAAGGGCCGGCCGGCCUCUCCCCCUUGCUCCUUUAUAUACGGGGGCAGGGGCACCUCUAGACACACAAGUUGAUCUUCGUGAUCGUUCUCUUAGCCGUGUGCGGUGCCCCCCCUCCACCAUAAUCCUCGAUAAUAUUGUAGCGGUGCUUAGGUGAAGCCCUGCGAUGGUAGAACAUCAAGAUCAUCACCACGCCGUCGUGCUGAAGGAACUCAUCCCCGACACUUUGCUGGAUCGGAGUCCGGGGAUCGUCAUCGAGCUGAACGUGUGCAAAAACUCGGAGGUGUCGUAGUUUCGGUGCUUGAUCUGUCGGGCCGUGAAGACGUACGACUACAUCAACCGCGUUGUUAUAACGCUUCUGCUUCCGGUCUACGAGGGUACGUAGACAACACUCUCCCCUCUUGUUGUUGUGCAUCACCAUGAUCUUGCGUGUGCGUAGGAAUUUUUUUGAAAUUACUAUGUUCCCCACCAGUGGCAUCCGAGCCUAGGUUUUAUGUGUUGAUGUUAUAUGCACGAGUAGAACACAAGUGAGUUAUGGGCGAUAUAAGUCAUACUGCUUACCAGCAUGUCAUACUUUGGUUCGGAGGCGUUGUUGGAUGAAGCAGCCCGGACCGACAUUACGCGUACGCUUAUGCGAGACUGGUUCUACCGACGUGCUUUGCACACAGGUGGCUGGCGGGUGUCAGUUUCUCCAACUUCAGUUGAACCGAGUGUGGCUACGCCCGGUCCUUGCGAAGGUUAAAAUAGCACCAACUUGACAAACUAUCAUUGUGGUUUUUGAUGCGUAGGUAAGAUUGGUUCUUGCUAAGCCCGUAGCAGCCACGUAAAACUUGCAACAAAUAAAGUAGAAGACGUCUAACUUGUUUUUGCAGGGCAUGUUGUAAUGUGAUAUGGUCAAGGCAUGAUGCUAAAUUUUAUUGUAUGAGAUGAUCAUGUUUUGUAACCAAGUUAUCGGCAACUGGCAGGAGCCAUAUGGUUGUCGCUUUAUUGUAUGCAAUGCAAUCGCCCUGUAAUGCUUUACUUUAUCACUAAGCGGUAGCGAUAGUCGUAGAAGCAUAAGAUUGGCAAGACGACAACGAUGCUAUGAUGGAGAUCAAGGUGUCGCGCCGGUGACGAUGGUGAUCAUGACGAUGCUUUGGAGAUGGAGAUCACAAGCACAAGAUGAUGAUGGCCAUAUCAUAUCACUUAUAUUGAUUGCAUGUGAUGUUUAUCUUUUAUGCAUCUUAUCUUGCUUUGAUUGAUGGUAGCAUUAUAAGAUGAUCUCUCACUAAAUUUCUAGAUAAAAGUGUUCUCCCUGAGUAUGCACCGUUGCCAAAGUUCGUCGUGCCCAGACACCACGUGAUGAUCGGGUGCGAUAAGCUCUACGUCCAUCUACAACGGGUGCAAGCCAGUUUUGGACACGCAGAAUACUCAGGUUAAACUUGACGAGCCUAGCAUAUGCAGAUAUGGCCUCGGAACACUGAGACCGAAAGGUCGAGCGUGAAUCAUAUAGUAGAUAUGAUCAACAUAGUGAUGUUCACCAUUGAAAACUACUCCAUUUCACGUGAUGAUCGGUUAUGGUUUAGUUGAUUUGGAUCACAUGAUCACUUAGAAGAUUAGAGGGAUAUCUUUCUAAGUGGGAGUUCUUAAGUAAUAUGAUUAAUUGAACUUAAAUUUAUCAUGAACUUAGUACCUGAUAGUAUCUUGCUUGUUUAUGUUUGAUUGUAGAUAGAUGGCCCGUGCUAUUGUUCCGUUGAAUUUUAAUGUGUUCCUUGAGAAAGCAAAGUUGACAGAUGAUGGUAGUAAUUAUGCGGACUGGGUCCGUAACUUGAGGAUUAUCCUCAUUGCUGCACAAAAGAAUUACGUCCUGGAAGCACCGCUGGGUGCCAGGCCUGCUGCUGAUGCAACUGACGAUGUUAAGAACGUCUGGCAGAGCAAAGCUGAUGACUACUCGAUAGUUCAAUGUGCCAUGCUUUACGGCUUAGAACCGGGUCUACAACGACGUUUUGAACGUCAUGGAGCAUAUGAGAUGUUCCAGGAGUUGAAGCUAAUAUUUCAAGCAAAUGCCCGGAUUGAGAGAUAUGAAGUCUCCAAUAAGGUCUAUAGCUGCAAGAUGGAGGAGAACAGUUCUGUCAGUGAGCAUAUACUCAAUAUGUCUGGGUAUAAUAAUCACUUGAUUCAACUGGGAGUUAAUCUUCCAGAUGAUUGCGUCAUUGACAAAAUUCUCCAAUCACUUCCACCUAGCUACAAGAGCUUCGUGAUGAACUAUAAUAUGCAAGGGAUGGAUAAGACAAUUCCCGAGCUCUUCGCAAUGCUAAAAGUUGCGGAGGUAGAAAUCAAGAAGGAGCAUCAAGUUUUGAUGGUCAACAAGACCACUAGUUUCAAGAAAAAGGGCAAGGGAAAGAAGAAGGGGAACUUCAAGAAGAACAGCAAGCAAGUUGCUGCUCAGGAGAAGAAACCCAAGUCUGGACCUAAGCCUAAAACUGAGUGCUUCUACUGCAAGCAGACUGGUCACUGGAAGCGGAAUUGCCCCAAGUAUUUGGCGGAUAAGAAGGAUGGCAAGGUGAACAAAGGUAUAUGUGAUAUACAUGUUAUUGAUGUGUACCCUACUAGAGCUCGCAGUAACACCUGGGUAUUUGAUACUGGUUCUGUUGCUAAUAUUUGCAACUCGAAAUAGGGACUACGGAUUAAGCGAAUACUGGCGAAGGACGAGGUGACGAUGUGCGUGGGAAAUGGUUCCAAAGUCGAUGUGAUCGCGGUCGGCACGCUACCUCUACAUCUACCAUCAGGAUUAGUAUUAGGCCUAAAUAAUUGUUAUUUGGUGCCAGGUUGAGCAUGAACAUUAUAUCUGGAUCUUGUUUGAUGCGAGAUGGUUAUUCAUUUAAAUCAGAGAAUAAUGGUUGUUCUAUUUAUAUGAGUAAUAUCUUUUAUGGUCAUGCACCCUUGAAGAGUGGUCUAUUUUUGAUGAAUCUCGAUAGUAGUGAUACACAUAUUCAUAAUGCUGAAGCCAAAAUAUGCAGAGUUGAUAAUGAUAGUGCAACUUAUUUGUGGCACUGCCAUUUAGGUCAUAUCGGUGUAAAGCGCAUGAAGAAACUCCAUACUGAUGGACUUUUGGAACCACUUGAUUAUGAAUCACUUGGUACUUGCGAACCGUGCAUCAUGGGCAAGAUUACUAAAACGCCGUUCUCCGGUACUAUGGAGAGAGCAACAGAUUUGUUGGAAAUCAUACAUACAGAUGUAUGUGGUCCAAUGAAUGUUGAAGCUCGUGGCGGAUAUCGUUAUUUUCUCACCUUCACAGAUGAUUUAAGCAGAUAUGGGUAUAUAUACUUAAUGAAACAUAAGUCUGAAACAUUUGAAAAGUUCAAAGAAUUUCAGAGUGAAGUUGAAAAUCAUCGUAGCAAGAAAAUAAAGUUUCUACGACCUGAUCGUGGAGGAGAAUAUUUGAGUUAUGAGUUUGGUUUACAUUUGAAACAAUGCGGAAUAGUUUCGCAACUCACGCCACCCGAAACACCACAGCGUAAUGGUGUGUCCGAACGUCGUAAUCGUACUUUACUUGAUAUGGUGUGAUCUAUGAUGUCUCUUACAUAUUUACCGCUAUCGUUUUGGGGUUAUGCUUUAGAGACGGCCGCAUUCACAUUAAAUAGGGCACCAUCAAAAUCCGUUGAGACGACGCCUUAUGAACUAUGGUUUGGCAAGAAACCAAAGUUGUCGUUUCUGAAAGUUUGGGGCUGCGAUGCUUAUGUGAAAAAGCUUCAACCUGAUAAGCUCGAACCCAAAUCGGAGAAAUGUGUCUUCAUAGGAUACCCGAAGGAGACUAUUGGGUACACCUUCUAUCACAGAUCCGAAGGCAAGACAUUUGUUGCUAAGAAUGGAUCCUUUCUAGAGAAGGAGUUUCUCUCGAAAGAAGUGAGUGGGAGGAAAGUAGAACUUGAUGAGGUAACUGUACCUACUCCCUUAUUGGAAAGUAUUACAUCACAGAAACCGGUUUCUGUGACACCUACACCAAUUAGUGAGGAAGCUAAUGAUGAUGAUCAUGAAACUUCAGAACAAGUUACUACUGAACCUCAUAGAUCAACCAGAGUAAGAUCCGCACCAGAGUGGUACGAUAAUCCUGUUCUGAAAGUCAUGCUACUAGAUCAUGAUGAACCUACGAACUAUGAAGAAGCAAUGGUGAACCCAGAUUCCGCAAAAUGGCUUGAAGCCAUGAAAUCUGAGAUGGGAUCCAUGUAUGAGAACAAAGUGUGGACUUUGGUUGACUUUCCCAAUGAUCAGUAAGCAAUUGAAAAUAAAUGGAUCUUCAAGAAUAAGACUGACGCUGACGGUAAUGUUACUGUCUACAAAGCUGGACUUGUCGCAAAAGGUUUUCGACAAGUUCAAGGAAUUGACUACGAUGAGACCUUCUCACUCAUAGCGAUGCUUAAGUCUGUCCGAAUCAUGUUAGCAAUUGCCGCAUUUUAUGAUUAUGAAAUUUGGUAGAUGGAUGUCAAAGCUACAUUCCUGAAUGGAUUUCUGGAAGAAGAGUUGUAUAUGAUACAGCCGAAAGGUUUUGUCAAUCCAAAAGGAGCUAACAAAGUGUGCAAGCUCCAGCGAUCCAUUUAUGGACUGGUGCAAGCAUCUCGGAGUUGGAAUAAACGCUUUGAUAGUGUGAUCAAAGCAUUUGGUUUUGUACAGACUUUUGGAGAAGCAUGUAUUUACAAGAAAGUGAGUUGGAGCUCUGUAGCAUUUAUGAUAUUAUAUGUGGAUGACAUAUUGCUAAUUGAAAAUGAUAUAGAAUUUCUGGAUAGCAUAAAGGGAUACUUGAAUAAGAGUUUUUCAAUGAAAGACCUCGGUGAAGCUGCCUACAUAUUGGGCAUUAAGAUCUAUAGAGAUAGAUCAAGACGCUUAAUUGGACUUUCACAAAGCACAUACCUUGACAAAGUUUUGAAGAAGUUCAAAAUGGAUCAAGCAAAGAAAGGAUUCUUGCCUGUGUUACAAGGUGUGAAGUUGAGUAAGACUCAAUGCCCGACCACUGCAGAAGAUAGAGAGAAAAUAAAAGAUGUUCCCUAUGCUUCAGCCAUAGGCUCUAUCAUGUAUGCAAUGCUGUGUACCAGACCUGAUGUGUGCCUUGCUAUAAGUCUAGCAGGGAGGUACCAAAGUAGUCCAGGACUGGAUCACUGGACAGCGGUCAAGAACAUCCUGAAAUACCUAAAAAGGACUAAGGAUAUGUUUCUCGUAUAUGGAGGUGACAAAGAGAUCAUCGUAAAUGGUUACGUUGAUGCAAGCUUUGACACUGAUCCAGACGAUUCUAAAUCGCAAACCGGAUACGUAUUUACAUUAAACGGUGGAGCUGUCAGUUGGUGCAGUUCUAAACAAAGCGUCGUGGCGGGAUCUACAUGUGAAGCGGAGUACAUAGUUGCUUCGGAAGCAGCAAAUGAAGGAGUCUGGAUGAAGGAGUUCAUAUCCGAUCUAGGUGUCAUACCUAGUGCAUCGCGUCCAAUGAAAAUCUUUCGUGAUAAUACUGGUGCAAUUGCCUUGGCAAAGGAAUCCAGAUUUCACAAGAAAACCAAGCACAUCAAGAGACGCUUCAAUUCCAUCCGGGAUCUAGACCAGGUGGGAUACAUUGAGAUUUGCAAGAUACAUACGGAUCUGAAUGUAGUAGACCCAUUGACUAAGCCUCUUCCACGAGCAAAACAUGAUCAGCACCAAGGCUCCAUGGGUGUUAGAAUCAUUACUGUGUAAUCUAGAUUAUUGACUCUAGUGCAAGUGGGAGACUAAAGGAAAUAUGCCCUAGAGGCAAUAAUAAAGUUAAUUUAUUUCCUUAUAUCCUGAUAAAUGUUUAUUAUUCAUGCUAGAAUUAUAUUAACCGGAAACGUAAUACUUGUGUGAAUACAUAGACAAACAAAGUGUCACUAGUAUGCUUCUACUUGACUAGCUCGUUAAUCGAAGAUGGUUAUGUUUCCUAACCAUAGACAUGAGUUGUCAUUUGAUUAACGGGAUCACAUCAUUAGGAGAAUGAUGUGAUUGACAUGACCCAUUCCAUUAGCUUAGCACCCGAUCGUUUAGUAUGUUGCUAUUGCUUUCUUCAUGACUUAUACAUGUUCCUAUGACUAUGAGAUUAUGCAACUCCCGUUUACCGGAGGAACACUUUGUGUGCUACCAAACGUCACAACGUAACUGGGUGAUUAUAAAGGUGCUCUACAGGUGUCUCCAAAGGUACAUGUUGGGUUGGCGUAUUUCGAGAUUAGGAUUUGUCGCUCCGAUUGUCGGAGAGGUAUCUCUGGGCCCUCUCGGUAAUACACAUCACUUAAGCCUUGCAAGCAAUGCAACUAAUAAGUUAGUUGCAAGAUGAUGUAUUACCGAACAAGUAAAGAGACUUGCCGGUAACGAGAUUGAACUAGGUAUUGAGAUACCGACGAUCGAAUCUCGGGCAAGUAACAUACCGAUGACAAAGGGAACAAUGUAUGUUGUUAUGCGGUCUGACCGAUAAAGAUCUUCGUAGAAUAUGUAGGAGCCAAUAUGAGAAUCCAGGUUCCGCUAUUGGUUAUUGACCGGAGACGUGUCUCGGUCAUGUCUACAUUGUUCUCGAACCCGUAGGGUCCGCACGCUUAACGUUACGAUGACAGUUUCAUUAUGAGUUUAUAUAUUUUGAUGUGCUGAAGGUUGUUCAGAGUCCCAGAUAUGAUCACGGACAUGACGAGGAGUCUCGAAAUGGUCGAGACAUAAAGAUCGAUAUAUUGGACGGCUAUAUUCGGACACCGGAAGUGUUUCGGGUGUUUUCGGAGAAAACCAGAGUGCCGGAAGGGUUACCGGAACCCCCCGGGGAAGUAUUGGGCCUUAGUGGGCCUGAGGGGAGAAAGAGGGCAGCAGCCCAAGAGGUGGCACGCCCCUCCCAUGGGGAGUCCGAAUUGGACUAGGGGAGGGGGGCGCGGCCCCUCUUUCCCUCUCCCUUUCCCUCUCUUUCCUUCCCCCUUCUCUCUUCCUAGUUGGACUAGGAAAGGGGAGUCCUACUCCUACUAGGAGGAGGACUCCCCCCUCCUUGGCGCGCCCCAAGGGCCGUCCGGCCUCUCCCCCUUGCUCCUUUAUAUAUGGGGGUAGGGGGAACCUCUAGACACACAAGUUGAUCUUCGUGAUCGUUCUCUUAGCCGUGUGCGGUGCCCCCCUCCACCAUAAUCCUCGAUAAUAUUGUAGCGGUGCUUAGGCGAAUCCCUGCGAUGGUAGAACAUCAAGAUCGUCACCACGCCGUCGUGCUGACAGAACUCAUCCCCAACACUUUGCUGGAUCGGAGUCCGGGGAUCGUCAUCGAGCUGAACGUGUGCAAAAAAUCGGAGGUGCCGUAGUUUCGGUGCUUGAUCGGUCGGGCCGUGAAGACGUACGACUACAUCAACCGCGUUGUUAUAACGCUUCCGCUUCCGGUCUACGAGGGUACGUAGACAACACUCUCCCCUCUUGUUAUUGUGCAUCACCAUGAUCUUGCGUGUGCGUAGGAAUUUUUUUGAAAUUACUACGUUCCCCAACAUCCGCAUCCCGCAUCGCCAGCUGCCAGCCUCCUCUGCCCGAGCCGCCACCCCGUCAUCCUUCGCCUGCAGCCACCAUCGCCUUGCCUACCUACCACCACCAGUAGCAAGCAGAGGCACCGGAGCUCCUUCCUCCACCAUCUUCUACCCCGAGCUCCUCCUGCUCGAUCUGCUGCUCUCGAGCGCAAUCAGCUCAUCCCCGACCCCGAGCUCCUCCAUGGCCCGAGCCCCUCCAACAAGCAUCAACUCCUCUUGCUGCUGCCUCUACUCCGAUGACCGCGCUGCCGAACCAGCAGAUGAACACUAUCCCCGUGCUCCUCCAUCUCCCCUCGUUCCCUUCUUCUCUUUCCCCCUCAAGUUCUGUUGAAACAACCGUUGUUUCUUCUGCAGAUCCCACGCCAUGGCUGUCCUCUUCUUCGGGUCAAGGUGCAGGCCGCCGGAUUUGAUCCCUCUCGGCAACCUCUCCGUCCUGGCCUCCUCCGCCGCACCGGCGAGCGUGACACGGGAGCACCGCAGGUGGCCUCGCGCGCCAAGUUCGCCUUUGCUGUUUCCCUACAUCGCUGUUGCCGCCUUCUGCUGCAGGAGGUCGCCCUGUCGCGGCCUUGUGGCAUGUCCUGCAGCUUGGGGAUCUGAUCUGUGGCUCUCCUAGCCGGAUCUGGCCUCAGGCGACUCCCCAGGCUCCAUCCCGUCCCCACGUCCCCGCGGACCCUGCCGGAAUCCGCAUGGCGCCGUCCUUGCCUUCGUUCGCCUGAACCGCCGGCAAGCUUUUGCUCUGUCUCUGUUGAGCGGGAGAGACAUCGCUCGUGCUCCUCCUGUUGUGCGCCUAGUGGGCCACCCACCGGCCCAGUUUCUUUGCCAAGGCCCAGCUAGGGUGAGCGACCUGGGCCAGAUCCCAGUUUCGGCCCAUGUAUUUUUUUUCCCUGCGCUAUGAAUUUGUCUUUUAUCUAGAGUUUUGCCUGUUUUGCAGAAAACACCCUAGUCUUCAUGCAUAUAAUAAUUCAUUAACCGAGCAUCGUAUUAAAAUGUUUUAUAUAUGAAAAAUGCUUAAAAUUGUGUCUAAUUUCAUAAUAUGUCACUUCCACCCAUGUUUAAAAUGUUUAAAUUGUUGUUUGUGUAGAUUUACUCAUUUGCCAUGCAAAAAUGGUUUAUUUCAUAACUAAAUAACUAUAGCUCCAAACUUAAUAAACUUUAUAUGUAUUUGGGGUAGAAAAAUGCCUAGUUUAACAUGGUGGUUUUACUUUGCAUGUUUAACAACUCUAAAAUAUGGUUUAGGGUAGAACAGUGCCAAAACUUAAAAUAUGCACAUGAGGACUUUCCGGACUUGUUGUUUGUUGUUCUGGCCUCAUUUAACCUUGCCUAGAUAGGUAGUUUUACUUUGCUUCACCCCUUGCCAUGCUAAACAACAUUUAAUAUUGUUGAGUACAUAAACGAGAUCAAACUAAAUAACUUGAAUGUGGUGUUCCGUCAAUAUGCAACUAGUUGCAUAUCGAGCUCCACUUAAUUUGUAGGAUUGCUUGUGCACUUUGCCAUGCCAUGCUUCAUUAAACCGGACAUGCAUCAUACUUGGUUGUGAAUCAUGCCAUGUUUAUGUGAUAGUUGUUUACUAUGUUGUUUGCUUCUUUCCGGUGUUGCUUCUUCGAGUUAGUUCCGAUAACGUCGCAUUUGUGAGGAUCCAUUCGGCUACGUCCGUUUGUCUUCUUCAUGGACCCGUUCUUCUUCCUUGCGGGAUCUCACGCAAGAUGACCAUACCCUCGAAAUCACUUCUAUCUUUGCUUGCUAGUUGCUCGCUCUUUUUGCUAUGCCGCGAUACCUACCACUUGCUUUAUCAUGCCUCCCAUAUUGCCAUGUCAAGCCUCUAACCCACCUUUCCUAGCAAACCGUUGUUUGGCUAUGUUACCGCUUUGCUCAACCCCUCUUAUAGCGUUGCUAGUUGCAGGUGAAGCUGAAGUUUGUUCCAUGUUGGAACAUGGUUAUUGUUGGGAUAUCACAAUAUCUCUUAUUUAAUUAAUGCAUCUAUAUACUUGGUAAAGGGUGGAAGGCUCGGCCUUAUGCCUGGUGUUUUGUUCCACUUUUGCCACCCUAGUUUCCGUCAUACCGUUGUUAUGUUCCUGGAUUUUGCGUUCCUUACACAGUUGGGUGUUAUGGGGACCCCUUGACAGUUUGCUUUGAAUAAAACUCCUCCAGCAAGGCCCAACCUUGGUUUUACCAUUUGCCUCACCACCACCUACUUUUCCCUUGGGAGUCACGCUCCCGAGGGUCAUCUUUAUUUAACCCCCCCGAGACAAUGCUUCUCUAAGUGUUGGUCCGAAACAGAGCCACUUGCAGCGCCACCUCGGGGAAACUUGAGGGUUGGUUUUAGUUGUACGUAGUGUUCAUCCGGUGUUGCCUUGAGAAUGAGAUAUGUGCAGCUCCUAUCAGGAUGUCGGUGCAUCGGGAGGUCUUGUUGGUCUUGUUUUACCAUUGUCAAAAUGUCUUGUAACCGGGAUUCCGACACUGAUCGGGUCUUCUCGGGAGAAGGUAUAUCCUUCGUUGACCGUGAGAGCUUGUGAUGGGCUAAGUUGGGACACCCCUGCAGGGUUUGAACUUUUGAAAGCCGUUCCCGCGGUUAUGGGCAGAUGGGAGUUUGUUAAUAUCCGGUUGUAGAGAACUUGACACUUGACUUAAUUAAAAUGCAUCAACCGCGUGUGUAGCCGUGAUGGUCUCUUUCCGGCGGAGUCCGGGAAGUGAACACGGUUCUUGUGUUAUGCUUGAAUGUAAGUAGUUUCAGGAUCACUUCUUGAUCAUUUCUAGUUUCACGAUCGUUGCAUUGCUUUUCUUCUCGCUCUUAUUUGCGUAUGUUAGCCAUCCUAUAUGCUAGUGCUUGCUGCAGCUCCACCUCACUACCUUUUCCUACCCAUAAGCUUAAAUAGUCUUGAUCUCGCGGGUGUGAGAUUGCUGAGUCCUCAUGACUCACAGAGUACUUCCAAAACCAGUUGCAGGUGCCGAUGAUACGAGUGUAGGUGACGCAACCCAGCUCAAGUGGGAGCUCGAUGAAGAUCGUGUUCAUUGUGUUGUUUCAUUUCCAGUUGAUCAGUAGUGGAGCCCAGUUGGGGCGAUCGGGGACCUAGAAAUAGGGGUGGUCUUUCUUUAUUUCGGUUCCGUAGUCGGACCUUGAUUGUAUUCUAGAUGAUGUAUGAUAUUCAUGUAUUGUUUGAAGUGGAGAUUGUAAGCCAACUCUUUAUCCCUUUCUUAUUCAGUACAUGGGAUGUGUAAAGAUUACCCCUCUUGUGACAUGCCUACUAUGUGGUUAUGCCUCUAAGUCGUGCUCUGACACGUGGGAGAUAUAGCUGCAUCGUGGGUGUUACAAGUUGGUAAUCAGAGCCUUCCCCGACUUAGGAGCCCCCUGCUUGAUCGAAUCGCUGACGUUGUUGAGUCUCGAAGAAAAUGUUUUGAGUCUUAUAGGAUUAUAUAUAUCGGAGAGUAGUAUUCUUUUUACUCCUCAGUCCCUUCGUCGCUCUGGUGAGGCUUCCUGGCGUAGAGUUUUGACUCUUCUCUUCUCAAAUUUCACUAAAAAAAUUAGUAUCACGCGGGUAUCUUGGAAUCGUUCCGAUGGUUUUGUGAUGAGAACAUUGUUCUUGGUGCCUCCUGACAUUUAGGGAUUGUGGCAGUGUCCCGGGGAGUUGAGCUCCGAGGUGUUGUCGUCACAAUUUUAUCGUUGCAGUUCUGGAAUACCUGAGUUUCACCGACAUCGAAAAUCUCUUUUAUGCAGUUGUUGGUGAGAUAACCUCGACGCCACCCAGUACUGGGGCGGGAGUUCGGGAGUAUUGCCAUAACUCGUAUAACGGAUGCUUUUCGAAGGUUGAGGUAAAUGAUUUCCGAAGGUUUUUGGUUAUGUGUUGAAGGAUGGAUACAGCUGGAUGUAGGAUUUGCUAGUUUUGGGUGAGAUAUUAUGCUUCCCCUGUAUCCCCAACACCCGAUUGCAUAACGACAAAGUUUUGGGAGUUUAUAAGAGGGAAUUCAAGUAGCUCCUAGGAAUCCAUUCCGACAGAUGCAUGAUAUGAGAUUGGGGUUCGACGUCUAGUGGUCCGCCUACCCACGGUUGGUUUUACAGUGGUCUCGUUGUGUCUUAAAGAUUCCUUGGCUAUGCUGACUCGGGGACGCUUCGUAUGUCAUGUGCACUGCCUUGUACAUGAUGGUGCUGUACGAUCGAGCCCGUGUGGGCCCCACCACGAAAACUUCGGACGAAAUCUCUAUCAUAUGUUUGUUCCGGCUUAUUUUGCAAGCCAAUCCUUUGUUUUGUUUUGAGUUGUGGUAUUUGAGUUGCUUCAAUGUCAAGUGUUGAUUCCAUAGCUUCCCCAAAUGGUGUUCUCAUACUCCUAUGUGAAUACCAAUCCUUCAUGAUAAUUGAGAUUGUCAUGUCAAUUCUUUCCAACCGGUGUGUUUCUCUUCAAGAUGAUCCUAUCAUUUUUCCCAUUCGCAAGACCAAUCUCAGUUUUUGUCAACGGUGAUUGUUUCAUCCGUCUCCAAGUUGCCUUUCUUUUACCCACCCUCCCACCCUUUUUUCUUCGAGGACUCAGAUAUCUUAAUCAAGUAUACAUUUGACUCAUGUGAACUUUCUUCUUUCAUUUCCUUCAAUGUUCUUAACCGGUGAUUUCUCGUGGAGAUGCUCAGAAGCUUCAAGUUCAUCAUUCUUAAUUCUUUUUCUUCUCCGGUGGAUUCAAUUCAAGUUUUUGGUGUUGAUCUUAUUCCUUUCAUUGUUUCAAAUGCAUUCCCAUGCCGUUGCACCUCUUAAUCUUUCACCUGUUGCUAUUCAUUUGUUCAGGAGUGUUGAAGAUAUCUCGAAGAUUCAUGUUUCCACUCUGCAUUCGUUCAAGCUUCAAGCCAUUUAAUUCAAUCAGCGCAUUCUCUUGUUUAAAUCAUUCAACGGUGUUUCUCUUGAGUGGGCCCUAACCCACAUGUCUUUUUCCAGGAUCUUACCUGACUCUUCUAAUUUUCCCGGAGCUAUCCUCAAAUUCUUCCACAAGUUUGACGUAAGAAUGAAUUAUCAUCAUUCAUAUGUAUUCCUCCAAGAUCUGUCAAAUUCUUUUUAUCGCUGGUCCAACCUUUCUAUUAUUCAUCCCGAAGUAUCUCAACAAUUCAUGGUGGUGUUUCUCAUCGUCAUUCUCAACAUUUGAAGACCGAAGGAGAUUUUUAUCUCUCAAUCUUGGUCCGUUCUCUUGAAGAUUUGUGGUUCUAGCUUGUUGCCAUCCUCUCAUAAUUGAUUUCGAUUGCGAGAAUCCUUUUCACCCUUCCGGAGCAAUUCAUGAGUCUUUUCAGUUUGAUUCUCCGGAGGCCAUCAUCUCAGAAUUAUUCAUUCUCAGCUUUCAGCUCUUUUUCUCUAAAUCUUACCGGUGCAUCGUGCAAAUAUCCUCUAAUCAAUUCGGGAUCUCUUCGUUCACUUGCAUCUAAAUUCUCUCAAGUGUCUUCAUUCGUUUUCCAAUUCUACCCGGUGAUUUGUGCCUUUGCUACUUUCAUUUUCAAUUCAUACGGUGGUUCGUUCAAGAUUUUUCUUCCUUCUUAUCAUAUCAGCUUAUUCGUUGUUUCAAUCAUACCGGUGGUUCAUUGAAGACCUUCUCAAGUUCGCGCUAUAUCUCUCUUCAAUCUUUUCAAGAAGAAUAAGUAGUAUGCCAAGUCUGUUGCUUGUCAUCAAUCUAAAUUGGUGAAGGAUAAGCAUAAUGUAAUUCUUAUUCUUGUUUCAUCGAGUAAAUUCAACUCCUUAUUCCGGAGGCUAAUCAAAUUCUCGUUUUCAAUUGUUCAUCUUUCUUUUCCUGAGUUCCAAGUCUUCUCGGUUAUAUCGUCGCGAAGAUCCAUCUAAAUCAUUGCAAGGAUUCACCUUGUGUUUUGAACUUCUCUUUCUUUUUUAUCAUCCUUUUUUAUUGGAGUUCUUCAUGGAGGCUAUACAUGGUGGUUCAUCAAGGAUUUAAUUUCUUCUCGAACUGUUCAUCGAGUUUCUUUUUCGAGGAGCUCAAGUAUUCUUCAUCUUUCUUUCCGAAGUGCAAUUCUUUCUACCUUAUUUUUUGAGAUGGUGUUAUGUCAUUUUUGGGAAUUUCUGCGUGUUUCAUGAUUCACAAGUUCAGGAAUGGGAUAUUUAAACCCAUCACCUUCUUCCUUGGAGUUAUCUUGGUAUAGAUUUCACCUAAAGCCUUCCAUUGGGAAUGUUGCUAUUUAUGGUGUUUAUCGAUGAUCCAAGUUUCCUCCUAUUCUUGCGGUGAAAGAAGUUUUUCCACUUCUUCGUUCCUCCCAGCUAAUCAAUCUUUUGGUAGUGGCAGGAUUUCACCUCAAGAUUUCGACGUGUUUUCCAUAAGCCCACAACAAGCAUACUCUUUUCGUUGUUGGUUUUCCAACAACUCCAUUCGACCCUUCUCCUAAAGAUGUUUUUUUCAAGCUCAUUUGAGGUAGAAGAUGUUGUUUUCUUCUCCGUUCCUUUAUUUGCAUUCUUUCAUUUCUUCCGGAGGCAUUGUGAUGAUGCUCUCUUCACUCAUCAUCUCGUAUUGUGAAGAUCAUAUUCUUUCUUUUGCUUAUCCAUUCAAGCGGAGUGUCGUGUCCUUCAUUCAAGUUCUCUCAUCUUAUCAAGUUUUGCCUCCCUUCUCAACCGGAGUGCUGCCUGAAAUCGUUCUUACCCCUUGUGCCAUUCUUUCAAUAGUUUCAGAGGCAGUGUGUUGUUGAUUUCAUCAAGUAUCUUCUCAUCUUAUCAAGUUCUUAUUCAAUUCCUAUUCUUUUCAAUCGGAGUGCUGCCCAAAUUAUAUCAUUCUUAAUCCUUCUCUAUCUUGUUUUUACCGGAGUGGUUUCAAUAUAUAUCUUGCCCUUCAACCUCAAGGUUUUUUCGCAAUGUUCUUUGUUCCUCUUUUGUAACGGAGUGUUUUCGACUUUGUUCACCUUCGUUGUAUUCUUUCUUUCAAAUUUGUUCGACCUCUCAAGGUUCGUGGUUUCACUCGUUUGUCCAAGAAGCAACUUAGUUUCACCUCACCUCUUCCUCUUCCUUUUUGCUCCGGUGCCAUCCUAGAUCUCAGGACGAGAUCCUCUCGUAGUGGUGGAGUGUUGUGACGCCCCGAGUCCGAUGCGCCAGGUGUCUUCCAGUUAUUCGUUAUCAUUGCCAUGUCAUUCGCUUGCGUGUUGCAUCUUGCCAUGUCAUUAUGUGCAUUGUAUCAUCAUGUCUUCAAAACUUGCAUCCGUCCGGGUCUCCCUGUUUCUCUCCGUUGUCCGUUCUGAGUCCAACCACACUUGCACGCGCCCGCGGCAUGUCCGAAAUAGUAUUUUAUACAUGGCCGGAAAAUGUUCUCGAAAUGGGAUGAAAGUUGGCGUGUGGUGUUGUUUUGUUGUCAGUAGGCUGCAUGCCAAGUUUCAUCGCGUUCGGAGUCCAUUUGACGCCCCAACGUAUAACUAUAGCGGCACCGCUGCCGGUCUAACGUCGGACGUUUUCGGUCUCCGAAAACUGCUGCCAGGCCCUCUCUCUCUCUCUUCUCUCCUCUCAGCCUCGCCACAGCCCACCUAGUCCAUCCACCUACCCCUCUUCGCGUCCGCAGCCGUCCGAUGCGAUCGCACGGUCCGAAAACCCUCUCUACUCUGUGCAUCGACCCCCUCGCGCGUGUCCGAAACUCUCGCGAAGCCGACCUGGACAGUUGUCACCGUUGCAUUCAGAUCAUCCCCUAACAUCUAUAAAACAUCUCCGUUUUGCUUUUUGGUCUCCCUAGCCUAUUUGUCUGGUGCCGUCCGAUUAAGAUCGGAGGGACCAAACGCCCCUAUCCAAAAACCACUUGUUAUAUAAAUCAGACCAAAUCCCUAACUUCUAGGGAUCCUCCUCGCCGCCGCCACACUCCACCUUGUCGUCUCCCACCUCGGGAUCCCCUCCCGAUCCCGUAGCCAAUCCACCAACCUACACCUCCUUUCCUUCCUCGAUUUCACCAGUGGGCCAAUCCCCUCUGAGGUCCAUCUCCACCAACCAACUCCACCAGCAGACGAAUGCCUCCGCAUCGCCAGCUGCCAGCCUCCUCUGCCCGAGCCGCCACCUCGUCGUCCUUCGCCUGCAGCCACCAUCGCCUUGCCUACCUACCACCACCAGUAGCAAGCAGAGGCACCGGAGCUCCUUCCUCCACCCUCUUCUACUCCGAGCUCUUCCUGCUCGAUCUGCUACUCUCGAGCCCAACCGGCUCAUCUGUGACCCCGAGCUCCUCCGUGGCCCGAGCCCCUCCAACAAGCAUCAACUCCUCUUGCUGCCGCCUCUACUCCGACGACCGCGCUGCCAAACCAGCAGAUGAGCACUAUCCCCAUCCUCCUCCUUCUCCCCUUGUUCCCUUCUUCUCUUCCCUCCUCAAGUUCUAUUGAAACAGCUGUUGUUUCUUCUGCAGAUCCCACGCCAUGGCUAUCCUCUUCUUCGGGUCAAGGUGCAGGCCGCCGGAUUCGAUCCCUUUCGGCAACCUCUCCGUCCUGGCCUCCUCCGCCGCGCCGGUGAGCGUGACACAGGAGGACCGCAGGUCGCCUCGCGCGCCAAGUUCGCCUUUGCCGUUUCCCUGCAUCGCUGCUGCCAUCUUCUGCAGCAGGAGGUCGCCCCGUCGUGGCCUUGUGGCAUGUCCUGCAGCUUGGGGAUCUGAUCCGUGCCUCUCCUAGCCGGAUCUGGCCUCAGGCGACUCCCCAGGCUCCAUCCUAUCCCCACGUCCCCGCGGACCCCGCCGGAAUCCGCAUGGCGCCGUCCUUGCCUUCGUUCGCGUGAACCGCCGACGAGCUUUUGCUCUGUCUCUGUUGAGCGGGAGGGACAUCGGUCAUGCUGCCCCUGUCGUGCACCCAGUGGGCCACCCACCGGCCCAGUUUCUUUGCCAAGGCCCAGCUAGGGUGAGCGACCUGGGCCAGAUCCCAGUUCUGGCCCAUGUAUUUUUUCCCCGCUGUGAAUUUGUCUUUUAUCUAGAGUUUUACCUGUUUUGCAGAAAACACCCUAGUCUUCAUGCAUAUAAUAACUCAUUAACGGAGCAUCAUAUUAAAAUGUUUUAUAUAUGAAAAAUGCUUAAAAUUGUGUCUAGUUUCAUAAUAUGUCACUUUCACCCAUGUUUAAAAUAUUUAAAUUGCCGUUUGUGUAGAUUUACUCAUUUGCCAUGCUCAAAUGGUUUAUUUCAUAACUAAAUAACCGUAGCUCCAAACUUAAUAAACUUUAUAUGUAUUUGGGGUAGAAAAAUGCCUAGUUUAACAUGGUGGCUUUACUUUGCAUGUUUAACAACUCUAAAAUAUGGUUUAGGGCAGAACAGUGCCAAAACUUAAAAUAUGCACAUGAGGAGUUUCCGGACUUGUUUGUUGUUCCGGCCUCAUUUAACCUUGCCUAGAUAGGUAGUUUUACUUUGCUUCACCCCUUGCCAUGCUAAACAACAUUUAAUAUUGUUGAGUACAUAAAUGAGAUAAACUAAAUAACUUGAAUGUGGUGUUCCGUCAAUAUGCAACUAGUUGCAUAUCGAGCUCCACUUAAUUUGUAGGAUUGCUUGUGCACUUUGCCAUGCCAUGCUUCAUUAAACCGGACAUGCAUCAUACUUGGUUGUGCAUCAUGCCAUGUUUAUGCGAUGGUUGUUUACUAUGUUGUUUACUUCUUUCCGGUGUUGCUUUUUCGGGUUAGUUCCGAUAAUGUCGCGUUUGUGAGGAUCCGUUCAGCUACGUCCGUUUGUCUUCUUCAUGGACCCGUUAUUCUUCCUUGCGGGAUCUCAGGCAAGAUGACCAUACCCUCGAAAUCACUUCUAUCUUUGCUUGCUAGUUGCUCGCUCUUUUUGCUAUGCCGCGAUACCUACCACUUGCUUUAUCAUGCCUCCCACAUUGCCAUGUCAAGACUCUAACCCAACUUUCCUAGCAAACCGUUGUUUGGCUAUGUUACUGCUUUGCUCAGCCCCUCUUAUAGUGUUGCUAGUUGCAGGUGAAGCUGAAGUUUGUUCCAUGUUGGAACAUGGUUCUUGUUUGGAUAUCACAAUAUCUCUUAUUUAAUUAAUGCAUCUAUAUACUUGGUAAAGGGUGGAAGGCUCGGCCUUAUGCCUGGUGUUUUGUUCCACUUUUGCCGCCCUAGUUUCCGUCAUACCGGUGUUAUGUUCCUUGAUUUGGUGUUCCUUACACUAUUGGAUGUUAUGGGGACCCCUUGACAGUUCGCUUUGAAUAAAACUCAUUCAGCAAUGCCCAACCUUGGUUUUACCAUUUGCCUCACCACCACCUACUUUUCCCUUGGGAGUCGCGCUCCCGAGGGUCAUCUUUAUUUAACCCCCCGGGCUAGUGCUUCUCUAAGUGUUGGUCCGAAACAGAGCCACUUGCAGCGCCACCUCGAGGAAACUUGAGGGUUGGUUUUAGUUGUACAUAGUGUUCAUCCGGUGUUGCCCUGAGAACAAGAUAUGUGCAGCUCCUAUCAGGAUGUCGAUGCAUCGGGUGGUCUUGCUGGUCUUGUUUUACCAUUGUCGAAAUGUCUUGUAACCGGGAUUCUGAGACUGAUCGGGUCUUCUCGGGAGAAGGUAUAUCCUUCGUUGACCAUGAGAGCUUGUGAUGGGCUAAGUUGGGACACCCCUGCAGGGUUUGAACUUUCGAAAGCCGUGCCCGCGGUUAUGGGUAGAUGGGAGUUUGUUAAUAUCCGGUUGUAGAGAACUUGACACUUGACUUAAUUAAAAUGCAUCAACCGCGUGUGUAGCCGUGAUGGUCUCUUUCCGGCGGAGUCCAGGAAGUGAACACGGUUCUUGUGUUAUGCUUGAACGUAAGUAGUUUCAGGAUCACUUCUUGAUCAUUUCUAGUUUCAUGACUGUUGCAUUGCUUCUCUUCUCGCUCUUAUUUCCGUAUGUUAGCCAUCCUAUAUGCUAGUGCUUGCUGCAGCUCCACCUCACUACCUUUUCCUACCCAUAAGCUUAAAUAGUCUUGAUCUCGCGGGUGUGAGAUUGCUGAGUCCUCGUGACUCACAGAUUACAUCCAAAACCAGUUGCAGGUGCCAAUGAUACCAGUGCAGGUGUCGCAACCCAGCUCAAGUGGGAGCUCGAUGAAGAUCGUGUUCGUUGUGUUGUUUCGUUUCUAGUUGAUCAGUAGUGGAGCCCAGUUGGGGCGAUCGGGGACCUAGCAAUAGGGGUGGUCUUUCUUUAUUUUGGUUCCAUAGUCGGACCUUGAUUGUAUUCUAGAUGAUGUAUGAUAUUCAUGUAUUGUUUGAAGUGGCGAUUGUAAGCCAACUCUUUAUCCCUUUCUUAUUCAGUACAUGGGAUGUGUAAAGAUUACCCCUCUUGCGACAUGCCUACUAUGCGGUUGUGCAUCUAAGUCGUGCUCCGACACGUGGGAGAUAUAGCCGCAUCGUGGGUGUUACAUGAGCGUUGACUCAUCAGUUAUGUUCAUCUCUCUCUCUCCUCUUUGUCUUUGGAGCAGAGGUGACACGAGAAUGGAUAUACUUCUAAACACUACAAUGACAGGUGGCGAUCCUUUUUUAUGCAAGUAUAACCCUAAUAUGUAAGAAGCGUGCCUCUUUUCUUGUCCUACUUUGCGAAUGUUUCGUUCGUACGCAACUUGGCAUGGCCCAUUUUUUGUCCCAAUUGCAAGUCCACCCUUGACACGCAACUGGGGGCCUGACCACUUUUGUUUUAGUUGCAAGUCCACCCCUGACAUGCAAGUCCGCCCUACAAGCCCAGUUUGACUCGUAAUUGGGCAUGUGUUUUGUAUUUCAUCCCAGUUGCAAGUCGACCAUUGACUUGCAAUCGGGCUUGUAGUUUCGUAGUUGUCCUAGUUGCGCGUCCAUCUUUCAUACGCAACUGGGUUCGUAUUUCUCCCAUUUGCAUGCCCACCCUCUACUUGUAACUAGGCAUGUUUUUGUUUUUUAUGCCAGUUGCAAGUCCACCAUUGACUCGCAACUGGGACAGCAGUUUGUUUCAUUCCAAUUGCAAGUCGACCCUUGAAUCGUAAUUGGGCUCGUUGUUUAGUAGUUAUCUUAAUUUCAAGUACAUGCUCGACUCACAACUGGGAUCAUAGUUUUGUUGUUAUCCUAGUUGCAACUCCAUCAUCGACUUGCAACCGGACUCAUAUUUUUGUUGUUAUCCUAGUUGCAAGUUCACUCUUGACUCGCAACUCGGCAUGUGUUUUUUUUCAUCUCAGUUGCAAGUCCACCCUUAAGUCGCAACUGAGCUCGUAGGUUUUGUUAUCCUAGUUACAAGUCCUCCCCCGAAUCGCAACUAGGCAUGUAGUUUGUUUUAUCCCAGUUGCAAGACCAUCCUUGACUCGCAAUUGGGCCCGUGAUUGGACUUCCAUCCGAGUUGCAAGUCCAUCUUUCACUCGCAACUAGGACCGUAGUAUGUUUUAUCCUAGUUGCAAGUCGACCCUUGACUCGCAACUACGCUCGUAGUUUGUAGUUGUCCCAGUUUUAAGUCCAUUCUCAAGUCACAACUCAGCUUGUAGUUCUCCUAGUUGCAGCCACACCCAAGACUCGCAACUAGGCAUGUACAUUGUUUUUCAUCCAAGUUGCAAGUCCACUUUUAACUCGCAACGAGCCCAUAGUUUGUUUCAUCCCACCCUCAAUUCGCAACUCCUAGUCUUAUCCCCUGACUACAUUGCACGCCUGCAAUGCUGCAACNNNNNNNNNNNNNNNNNNNNNNNNNNNNNNNNNNNNNNNNNNNNNNNNNNNNNNNNNNNNNNNNNNNNNNNNNNNNNNNNNNNNNNNNNNNNNNNNNNNNNNNNNNNNNNNNNNNNNNNNNNNNNNNNNNNNNNNNNNNNNNNNNNNNNNNNNNNNNNNNNNNNNNNNNNNNNNNNNNNNNNNNNNNNNNNNNNNNNNNNNNNNNNNNNNNNNNNNNNNNNNNNNNNNNNNNNNNNNNNNNNNNNNNNNNNNNNNNNNNNNNNNNNNNNNNNNNNNNNNNNNNNNNNNNNNNNNNNNNNNNNNNNNNNNNNNNNNNNNNNNNNNNNNNNNNNNNNNNNNNNNNNNNNNNCAAAAAACAAAAACAAUCCUUCACAAACUAAUAGAAAAUGUGGUGAUUUCUUAAAAUGCGUGAAGUUUCUUUAAAACAUUGCCACGAACAUUUCUUUGAAUGUUAUGGAACUUUUUUUAUUCUGUAAUACAUUUUUGAACAUCACAAACAUUAUUUGGAAAUGCAUGAACAUUUUUCAAAUGGCAACAUUUUUAAGUGGUGCAAACAAAUUUUUCAAUUGAAAAUUUAUUAUUAAAAUAAAAUUAAACUCACCGUAUUUGCAUUUUUCGAAAAAUGAUUGGAAUUUUUCAAAAGAAUCCACACUUUAAAAACUAUUUGGGGAUUUUCAUAAAUUGUUCACGCUUUUAAAAUAAUUCAUGAAGAUAUUGUUUGAAAUACAAAAGUUUGUUUUUAUUUGUCAAAAAAGUUUGGAACUACAAAGUUUAUUCACAUUUGAAAAGACUGUUUGAAAUUUUAAAAUUGUUUGUGUUUUCAAAAAUAUUUGACAUUUCAAAUUGUUUACGAUUUGUAAGAAAAUGUUUCAAACAUUUUUUUAAGAUUGUCUUCUAAUCUUGCCGAUUUACUAUGUUCUUAUAUAUUCCCCUCUUUUUAAUAAUCAAUAGUUAUCUACUUCCUUCGUUUCUAAAUAUUUGUUUUUUUAAAGAUAUCAACAAGUGACUAUAUACGAAGCAAAAUAAUUGAAUUUACACUUCAAAACAUGUCUAUAUAUCCAUAUGUGAUAGUCCAUUUAAAAUCUUAAAAAACAAAUAUUUUUAGGAACGGAGGGAGUAUUGGAGUGGUAGGAGCACGGUGACCAACAUGUUGUCCUGAGUUCAGUUCCUACUGCAGCGCACUUUGUCACUCAAUGAAAUAUAAUAUUUUGUUAUUUUGUGUCAUGCAAAAUACAAAUUUACACUCAUGUGCUUGGAUCGAAGCGACAUUAUAGAUCCAUAAAACACUCUUUGGCCAAAAAGAUGCGCACUUCUAUAUUUAGAGAACAGCACUACAUAUUUUGUACAACGACACAUAUUUUGUACAACGAGCACGGGUGUUUGUUUCUAGAAAUUUAUUGGUCUAGAGACUUAAAUAAGGACAUUUAAGACUUAUGAAAUAAACUCUUAAAAAGGGACUUAUAGUUAUAAUAUGGUCUUAUAAAAACUUAUAAGUCCCAGGAAUCAAACAUGUAGAAACUUUUUAGUAACUUGGGACUUAUAAGUUCGGACUAAAAAAAUCCUAGCCCUCAUGAACCAAACAAGGCCUCAAUCUGUCCUUUAUUAUUUUAUUAUUAGAGAGAGAGGAGAGACAUAGAGCACUACAAAUUUCGCACAACGAGCGCGCAAGGAGGAUUGGAGAAAAACGGCACACUCUACAAAGAGCACACUUCGGACAGCUGAAAUCUUAAAGCCUCAGAUGCAGGGUACAGUCUCACACGAACUCAUCACUGGACCUGCACGUCGAUGACCUUGCGCUCGGUCUCCCUCUUGGGCACGGACACGAGCAGCACGCCGUUCUUGAGCUCGGCCCGCACCUGGCUCUUGUCGCACUCGUCCGGCAGAGCCAGGCGCAUGUCGUAGGAGCUCACGCUGCGCUCCUUCCACCACCCGUCGCCGCCUUCGCCCUGCCCUUCGCCGGCCUCCUCCUUGUGCUCGCCGCGGAUGACGAGCGCGUCGCCCUCCACCAUCACCUUCACCUCCUCCCGCGACAGCCCGGGCAUGUCGAACCGCAUCUUCACCUCCUUGUCGUCCUCCAUGAUGUCCCACGGCAUCCGCGGCGUCUCGCUCGCCGCCGCUGGCGAGCGCCGCGCCGUGGGGAACCCCACGGCGUCGUCGAACAGCCGGUCCAUCGUGUCCAGCAUCUGCCGCAUCGUCCUCAUCGGCGACAUCGGGUCCACCAGCCCUGCAUAUGUUGGCGUAAACCACGUACGUCAGCCUCUGCUGCCACAAAAUUCUCUCUCGUUGAAGAACAUCGGAACAGAGGACUUACCGAACGGGGAGAUGUCGAAGCCAGCGUGGCGCGGGCGACGCUGGACUGCAUUGCCCUGCUGGUUGCCGCCGUCCUGCCUGCUGACAUGGACGUCGACGGAGUUGUCCCUGUUCUCCUGCGCCGCAGAGGCCACGGAGAGCGGGCGGGUUCUCCCGCCGGUCGAGAGCGGCGCUGGCCUCGCGGCCCUCCAGGCACGGAUCGGCAGG